UACGGAGGAUCCAAGCGUUAUCCGGAUUUAUUGGGUUUAAAGGGUGCGUAGGUGGGCAAGUAAGUCAGUGGUGAAAUCUCCGGGCUUAACCCGGAAACUGCCAUUGAUACUAUUUGUCUUGAAUACUGUGGAGGUCAGCGGAAUAUGUCAUGUAGCGGUGAAAUGCUUAGAUAUGACAUAGAACACCAAUUGCGAAGGCAGCUGGCUACACAAAUAUUGACACUGAGGCACGAAAGCGUGGGGACCAAACAGG
rnacentral:rRNA from 1 species